rnacentral:miRNA from 1 species
AUUUUCUGCCUGUUAUCAAUAGCUUUUAUAUUCCACGUAAUAUUUCUCUUUGUUUAUGUGGAAUAUAAAAGCUAUUGAUUGCAGAGAGCCAA